AUGUUUUGCACAAGUGUUUAUAGUAGAUUAGAAUGCAUAUUUAAUUCAUUGGUGCAUAUUUCUUUAGGAUGUAGCUUAGACUUGUUAUAUUGUUUGUGUCAGGGGUUACUGUAUGCAGUGAAUGCUGUGUUUCCAAAUUGCAACCAAAGGUUCUGCCUUAGACAUAUAUAUGCAAAUUUCCAAAAUGCUGAGUUUAGGGGUGAAGAUCUUAAGAAGUGCAUGGAUAAUGCUAGCUAUGCCUACAAUGAACACAAAUUUAAUAUUGCAAUGAAUGAUCUUAGAGCUGAAAGUGAGGAAGCUUGGGAGUGGCUUACUGCAAUACCAAAAAAGACAUGGGCAAGGCAUGCAUUUGACACAAACUGCAAGACUGACUUGGUAGUGAACAACUUGUCUGAGGUGUUCAACAAGUACAUUCUAGAUGUUAGGAGAAAACCUAUAAGGACAAUGUGUGAUGGGAUAAAAGAUAAGCAGAUGGUGAGGUGGCACAUGAAGAGAGAGAGUGUGUUAAGGAAGCAAGAUGGGAGAUAA
rnacentral:rRNA from 1 species